rnacentral:rRNA from 1 species
GAUGAACGCUGGCGGCGUGCCUAAUACAUGCAAGUCGAGCGAACAGACGAGGAGCUUGCUCCUCUGAAGUUAGCGGCGGACGGGUGAGUAACACGUGGAUAACCUACCUAUAAGACUGGGAUAACUUCGGGAAACCGGAUCUAAUACCGGAUAAUAUAGUGAACCGCAUGGUUCAAUAGUGAAAGACGGUUUUGCUGUCACUUAUAGAUGUAUCCGCGCCGCAUUAGCUAGUUGGUAAGGUAACGGCUUACCAAGGCAACGAUGCGUAGCCGACCUGAGAGGGUGAUCGGCCACACUGGAACUGAGACACGGUCCAGACUCCUACGGGAGGCAGCAGUAGGGAAUCUUCCGCAAUGGGCGAAAGCCUGACGGAGCAACGCCGCGUGAGUGAUGAAGGUCUUCGGAUCGUAAAACUCUGUUAUUAGGGAAGAACAAAUGUGUAAGUAACUAUGCACGUCUUGACGGUACCUAAUCAGAAAGCCACGGCUAACUACGUG